rnacentral:rRNA from 1 species
UACGUAGGUGGCAAGCGUUAUCCGGAAUUACUGGGCGUAAAGCGCACGCAGGCGGUCUUGUAAGUUUGACGUGAAAGCUCCCGGCUUAACUGGGAGAGGUCGUUGAAUACUGCGAGACUUGAGUUUAGGAGAGGGGUGUAGAAUUCCCGGUGUAGUGGUGGAAUGCGUAGAUAUCGGGGGGAAUACCAGUGGCGAAAGCGGCACCCUAGCCUUUGACUGACGCUCAUGUGCGAAAGCGUGGGGAGCAAACAGG